AUGCUCAAGGAGCAGCAGAGGAGCAUUGUGCUGCGCCGGAAGUUCAGCGUGGCGUCCAUUCCGUCGGCGGCGAGGCGGGUGCGCCAGGUGAGCGGUGACGACAAGAAGGCACACGCGCCGCCGAUCUUUUUUGUGUCGGCUAACACCGUGAAGAUGAGCGCUGGAGGCGGCGCCACCCCCUAUCUAAAGAGGGACACUUUUGUCGGGCUGUGGAUGGCGGCAGCGUUCCUGGCGGCCUGCGGCAUCUGCCGCAAACCCCUCGCCGGCGAAGACGCCUACAUUUACAGGGGUGAAUUUGCAUUCUGCAGCGAUGAGUGCAGGGAGUUGUACAUCAAAUGGAAAAGGGCGUGCUCCCUCAGAUCCCGCGGAAAGGCCCCAUCGAAGAAGUCCAGAAGCAGCGGGGGCUCGUGCGGCGGGCCAGGCUAA
rnacentral:rRNA from 1 species